UACGUAGGGUGCAAGCGUUGUCCGGAAUUAUUGGGCGUAAAGAGCUCGUAGGCGGUCUGUCACGUCGGCUGUGAAAACCCGAGGCUCAACCUCGGGCCUGCAGUCGAUACGGGCAAACUAGAGUACUGCAGGGGAGACUGGAAUUCCUGGUGUAGCGGUGAAAUGCGUAGAUAUCGGGAGGAACACCAGUGGCGAAGGCGAUCACCUGGGGAUGUUCUGACGCUGAGGAGCGAAAGCUAGGGGAGCAAACGGG
rnacentral:rRNA from 1 species